rnacentral:tmRNA from 1 species
GGGGCUGUUUUGGUUUUGACAGCACAUGACAUUGGACGGUAAGCACGUCGGGCGUCGUAGCCUUGCCCGUUAAUCUCAGACUUCAAACAAUUAGUUGGCAACAACUCUUAUGCACUCGCUGCGUAAUUAACCAAGUUAAUUACCUUAAUCCGGUCCGCCAAGGCUGCGGGCCCGACGAGUAUCCCUCAGGCCUUUAAGCCGGUUAUGGCCUGAAUCAGGGGUAUCAUUCAAACCGGAUGCUGCAGCGGACUCCUUUAAAGCUGCCUAAGACCUAAAGGAUAAGCCUUGGAUGGCCCGCCUUUCGGCAGCCCUCGGACGAAAACCAAAGGAAGGAUAAGCGUGUAGAAAGCCGCCUGGUGCGGUGUUUGGACGGCGGUUCGAGUCCGCCCAGCUCCAC